rnacentral:rRNA from 1 species
UGAGGAAUAUUGGUCAAUGGGCGAGAGCCUGAACCAGCCAAGUAGCGUGCAGGAUGACGGCCCUAUGGGUUGUAAACUGCUUUUAUAUGGGAAUAAAGUGAGGGACGUGUCCCUUAUUGCAGGUACCAUAUGAAUAAGGACCGGCUAAUUCCGUGCCAGCAGCCGCGGUAAUACGGAAGGUUCGGGCGUUAUCCGGAUUUAUUGGGUUUAAAGGGAGCGUAGGCCGUUUGGUAAGCGUGUUGUGAAAUGUAGGAGCUCAACUUCUAGAUUGCAGCGCGAACUGUCAGACUUGAGUGCGCACAACGUAGGCGGAAUUCAUGGUGUAGCGGUGAAAUGCUUAGAUAUCAUGAAGAACUCCGAUUGCGAAGGCAGCUUACGGGAGCGCAACUGACGCUGAAGCUCGAAGGUGCGGGUAUCGAACAGG